rnacentral:rRNA from 1 species
GACGAACGCUGGCGGCGUGCCUAAUACAUGCAAGUAGAACGCUGAAGAGAGGAGCUUGCUCUUCUUGGGUGAGUUGCGAACGGGUGAGUAACGCGUAGGUAACCUGCCUUGUAGCGGGGGAUAACUAUUGGAAACGAUAGCUAAUACCGCAUAACAAUGGAUGACACAUGUCAUUUAUUUGAAAGGGGCAAUUGCUCCACUACAAGAUGGACCUGCGUUGUAUUAGCUAGUAGGUGAGGUAAUGGCUCACCUAGGCGACGAUACAUAGCCGACCUGAGAGGGUGGUCGGCCACACUGGGACUGAGACCCGGCCCAGACUCCUACGGGAGGCAGCAGUAGGGGAUCUUCGGAAAUGGGGGCAACCCUGACCGAGCAACGCCGCGUGAGUGAAGAAGGUUUUCGGAUCGUAAAGCUCUGUUGUAAGUCAAGAACGGGUGUGAGAGUGGAAAGUUCACACUGUGACGGUAGCUUACCAGAAAGGGACGGCUAACUACGUG